rnacentral:misc_RNA from 1 species
GAUGAAGAACGUAGUGAAAUGCGAUAACUAGUGUGAAUUGCAGAAUUCCGUGAAUCAUCGAGUCUUUGAACGCACAUUGCGCCCCCUGGUAUGCCGGGGGGCAUGCCUGUCCGAGCGUCAUUGCUGCCCAUCAAGCACGGCUUGUGUGUUGGGUCGUCGUCCCCUCUCCGGGGGGGACGGGCCCCAAAGGCAGCGGCGGCACCGCGUCCGAUCCUCGAGCGUAUGGGGCUUUGUCACCCGCUCUGUAGGCCCGGCCGGCGCUUGCCGAACGCAAAUCAAUCUUUUUCCAGGUUGACCUCGGAUCAGGUAGGGAUACCCGCUGAACUUAAGCAUAUCAAUAAGCGGAGGA